rnacentral:pre_miRNA from 1 species
UGGACAGAUUAUUGUAUUCGACUGUAUUCACGGCGUGAAACAGGGGAUUACACUAUUUUUAAACGGAAAGUGAAUCAAUUAACAUGAUAGACUCCU